GGACUGAAUUUAACCUUACAGGGACCAACCCUGAUGUCUCUUCUUGCAUCAUAUCAGCUAAGGUGUUAUAAUAGCAACAGUGGACUAACCAAGCUAAUGUUUUUCAUUUUUGGAACAAGCCAGUGCAACUUGGGGGUAUUGUAUGAGUGCAUGCAAAGGGAAUAAACAAUACAUUACCGAUCUGCGGGAGACUGAGAAAGCAGUAAUUACCAUGACAACAUGAUGGAACGGUAUACUCAACAGGAGCAUGAGUGUGUGUGCAUGCAUGCACUUCUCUUAGAUGCCCGACAGCACUCGGAAAAACAACAGGCACCACCCUAGUAAAGCACAACACUACAGCAGUACCAAGACAUCCAACCUCGCAGCAUUCAAAAGGCCAUCAUCCUCCUCCUCCCUCUGGACACAAACAUGACAUCUGUACAGUUAAAUUGAAUCAGGAGCCAGGCUCAGAAUGGCAAAAGCCAGAGAAGAGGGUUUGGAUGGGGGUUUGGGGUAGGGUGGAGUGGGGGGAUGCAAUCCAUAUCGGUUUCAUCCCCAGGAUAUCUGCAUAAUUGGGAGCUGACAUGAACCAAAUGAAAUGACAUGGCUGCCAGGCAACAGCGGAGCCCUCGUUGCGUUCCGGCGACAGCUGCACAUUGUCUCAUGGCAGGGACUAAAAUGGUAGGUGCAAACAAAUACACACCACACAUUUGCAAACAGACACACACAUAUGUUUAGUCAUACUCUCUCUCUCUCCCUCUCGCUCACAUACACAUACACACACACACCUUGCUUGAGGACAUGGCUGAUCUAUCUUGCGUGUACUUCUUCUGCCUCAAAUAAAAAAAGAAGAAGUGGAAAGGGAUGUGGUAACAUACAUCUUUCUGAAAUACAGAACAGUAUUUUCCUGGCCUGCCUGUAUUUAACUGUGUACAGUAUAAUAUGUCCAUACACAU